rnacentral:rRNA from 1 species
AGUGAACGCUGGCGGCAGGCCUAAUACAUGCAAGUCGAACGGCAGCACAGCAGAGCUUGCUCUGUGGGUGGCGAGUGGCGGACGGGUGAGGAAUACGUGGGAAUCUGCCCAGUCGUGGGGAUAACGUAGGGAAACUUACGCUAAUACCGCAUGCGCCCUUCGGGGGAAAGCCGGGGACCUUCGGGCCUGGCGCGAUUGGAUGAGCCCACGUCGGAUUAGCUAGUUGGCGGGUAAAGGCCCACCAAGGCGACGAUCCGUAGCUGGUCUGAGAGGAUGAUCAGCCACACUGGAACUGAGACACGGUCCAGACUCCUACGGGAGGCAGCAGUAGGGAAUAUUGGACAAUGGGCGCAAGCCUGAUCCAGCCAUGCCGCGUGAGUGAAGAAGGCCCUCGGGUUGUAAAGCUCUUUUGU